rnacentral:rRNA from 1 species
AUUGAACGCCGGCGGCAUGCUUUACACAUGCAAGUCGAACGGUAACAGGCCGCAAGGUGCUGACGAGUGGCGAACGGGUGCGUAAUGCAUCGGAACGUGCCCAGUCGUGGGGGAUAACUACUCGAAAGAGUAGCUAAUACCGCAUACGAUCUAUGGAUGAAAGCGGGGGACCGUAAGGCCUCGCGCGAUUGGAGCGGCCGAUGUCAGAUUAGGUAGUUGGUGGGGUAAAGGCUCACCAAGCCAACGAUCUGUAGCUGGUCUGAGAGGACAACCAGCCACACUGGGACUGAGACACGGCCCAGACUCCUACGGGAGGCAGCAGUGGGGAAUUUUGGACAAUGGGCGCAAGCCUGAUCCAGCAAUGCCGCGUGCAGGAAGAAGGCCUUCGGGUUGUAAACUGCUUUUGUACGGAACGAAACGGCUCUGGUUAAUACCCGGGGCUAAUGACGGUACCGUAAGAAUAAGCACCGGCUAACUACGUG